AAUAUGAAUCAGUUUUAUUAAGUACCGUGUCCAAGAUACUAUGACUGCUCUUUCAAGUCAAAUAAUCUUAUGCAUUAGUGAUGUAACAUCGAUUUAAGAAUGUUUACAAAGAUUCGUUUACAUUGUGCUCUUAUGACGAUUUUCAUAACAUACCUACAGGAAAAUGCAUAGUAAGCUAGCAAGACAAAUUCACUGUAACAGCAACCCCUCACGUACUGCAAGUGUUCAUGGAUGACAGCGGGCCCGAUUGCUAGUAAUAUAUCUUAUCAGGUUGAUCUCUACUUGCAAAAAAUCGUGGUUAAUUCCUGCUGAAUUCAUCAUGAUGGCCGGUAUACGUAGCGUAAGCGGGAUUGCCAUUCAAUUGUCAUCCUGAGGUGCAUUUUUCCAAACCUAUUUUUUAACCUCAUAUUUUAAUUUUUUAAGUUUCUUGGGUUAUCAUAAAUUAAAAUUGCAAUAAAUUUGACUUAUUUUUA